UACGUAGGAUGCAAGCGUUGUCCGGAAUUAUUGGGCGUAAAGAGCGCGCAGGCGGUCAAUCAAGUCAGAUGUGAAAUAUCCCGGCUUAACCGGGAGGGGUCAUUUGAAACUGGUUGACUAGAGUCCGGAAGAGGAGAGUGGAAUUCCUGGUGUAGCGGUGAAAUGCGCAGAUAUCAGGAGGAACACCUGUGGUGUAGACAGCUUUCUGGACCAUAGCUGACGCUGAGGAGCGAAAAGCGUGGGGAGCGAACAGG
rnacentral:rRNA from 1 species